rnacentral:lncRNA from 1 species
UUUAUGACUUGGAAUAUUUGACUGGUAUUUCUAUUGUGGUAUAAAUGUUUGAAGAGCAAGGUCCCUGGUUUUCUGCUUCCCAGAACUAUUAAGAACACCAAUUGCAAUCACUGUCAGUCCUUGGGGGACAAUUUGCAUGUGAACAACUGAUUAGUCAGCUUGUCUGUUCAUUUUUACAUGAACUGCAUGUCAGACAAUGCCUCAUAUCCUAUCAGAGGCCUUCCAUUUCCAUUUUGGGAGUUUAAAGAAUUUGGUAUCCCAGAUUAAUCUGCCUUUUGAGCAUGAAAACAGUGGGUAAUAUUUUCCAUUCCUUUCAUUGGUGAGCCAAAAACUCAAGGUGCAAGUGGAAUUCGAUCUUUAAGACUCUUUCUACCACACUUCGUGCAAGUCUUCCCUCUCCUGGCUCCAAGAGGUGUUGCCAAAGGAGAUUACCAUCUGAGUCAGUGGACUGGGAGAGACAGACCCACCCUCAGUCUGGGUGGGUACCAUCUAAUCAGCUACCCACACGGCUAGAAUAAAGCAGGCAGAAGAAAGUGAUCAACAGACUUGCUGAGUCUUCUGGCCUUCAUCUUUCUCCCGUGCUGGAUGCUUCCUGCCCCUGAACGUCAGACUCCAAGUUCUUCAGAUUAUGGACACUUGGACUUACACCAGUGGUUCACCAGGGGCUCUCGAGCCUUUGGCCACAGACUGAGGUUAUUUCUGGACACAGUAAUCCUUCAGCAAUACAAUUACCAAGUUAUUCAACAUGGAAGGCUUUGCCAAGACAGUGGUGGCUGGGAUUUGACCCUCUAAGUGUGAGGGUCAUCCAUUCCUUUAUUAGCAAAUAUUCAUGAAUGCCCACUAUGUGCAACACACGGUGCUUGGUGCAAGCAUACAGUGAUGAAUCAAGUAGAGAAGGCCCUGCCCUUAUGGAGCUUACAGCCUGGCUGUGAAGAAAUUAACAUUUGAGUCAGCGGACUCGGAGAGGAAGACCCACCAUCAGGAAGACCAACCCACAGUGUGGGUGGGCACUAUCCAAUCAGCUGUCAGUGUGGCUAGAAAAAGCAGGCAGAAGUUGGAAGAAGCUGACUUGCGGAGUUUUCCAGCUUUCAUCUUUCUCCCGUGCUAGAUGCUUCCUGCCUCGAACAUCAGACUCCAAGUUCUUUAGUUUUUGGACUCUUGGACUUACACCAGUCGUUUGCCAGGGGCUCUCAGGCCUUUGGCCACAGACUGAAGGCUGCACUGUCGGCUUCCCUGCUUUUGAGAUUUUGGGGCUUGAACU